UUUUAUUUUCCAGGACACGACCUUCUACAGUUCAUUUCUUUUUUGGGCCUCAAACUUUUUAUAGUCCAUUUCAAUUUUUGGCCUCCAUAACAAAGUUGUUCCAGCGAUAGUGAAACAAAGGGAAUUCAAAUAAGCAUUUAUCUUAAAUAGCCACGGGUAACAAUUUUAUUUCUUUCAACACAAAGAGAUUCCUUAAACAACCACGUGUACAACAAUAGGUACAUUCAAGCACAGGAAGUACUACCAAGGAGCUAAAACACGUACUAACAGCAAACAUGUACAUUCAAGCAUCCACGUGUACAACAGGACUGUAGCUACCAUUUCUACCAGCAGCAGCAGCAGUAGCCGCCUGAAAGACAAGGAGGUACUACCAAGGAGCUAAACUAACAGCAACCAUCCAUCAUCAAUCGGUGACACUAGCAAUGAGAG
rnacentral:lncRNA from 1 species